AUAUCAAUAAGCGGAGGAAAAGAAACCAACAGGGAUUGCCCUAGUAACGGCGAGUGAAGCGGCAACAGCUCAAAUUUGAAAUCUGGCUCUUUCAGAGUCCGAGUUGUAAUUUGCAGAGGGCGCUUUGGCUUUGGCAGCGGUCCAAGUUCCUUGGAACAGGACGUCACAGAGGGUGAGAAUCCCGUACGUGGUCGCUAGCUAUUGCCGUGUAAAGCCCCUUCGACGAGUCGAGUUGUUUGGGAAUGCAGCUCUAAAUGGGAGGUAAAUUUCUUCUAAAGCUAAAUAUUGGCCAGAGACCGAUAGCGCACAAGUAGAGUGAUCGAAAGAUGAAAAGCACUUUGGAAAGAGAGUCAAACAGCACGUGAAAUUGUUGAAAGGGAAGCGCUUGCAGCCAGACUUGCUUGCAGUUGCUCAUCCGGGCUUUUGCCCGGUGCACUCUUCUGCAGGCAGGCCAGCAUCAGUUUGGGCGGUGGGAUAAAGGUCUCUGUCACGUACCAUCCUUCGGGAUGGCCAUAUAGGGGAGACGUCAUACCACCAGCCUGGACUGAGGUCCGCGCAUCUGCUAGGAUGCUGGCGUAAUGGCUGUAAGCGGCCCGUCUUGAAACACGGACCAAGGAGUCUAACAUCUAUGCGAGUGUUUGGGUGUCAAGCCCGAGCGCGUAAUGAAAGUGAACGGAGGUGGGAACCCGCAAGGGUGCACCAUCGACCGAUCCUGAAGUUUACGGAAGGAUUUGAGUAAGAGCAUGGCUGUUGGGACCCGAAAGAUGGUGAACUAUGCUUGAAUAGGGUGAAGCCAGAGGAAACUCUGGUGGAGGCUCGCAGCGGUUCUGACGUGCAAAUCGAUCGUCAAAUUUGGGCAUAGGGGCGAAAGACUAAUCGAACUAUCUAGUAGCUGGUUCCUGCC
rnacentral:rRNA from 1 species